UACGUAGGGUGCAAGCGUUGUCCGGAAUUAUUGGGCGUAAAGAGCUCGUAGGCGGUCUGUCACGUCGGCUGUGAAAACCCGAGGCUCAACCUCGGGCCUGCAGUCGAUACGGGCAAACUAGAGUACUGCAGGGGAGACUGGAAUUCCUGGUGUAGCGGUGAAAUGCGCAGAUAUCAGGAGGAACACCAGCGGCGAAGGCGGCGCUCUGGGCCGGUACUGACACUGAGGAGCGAAAGCGUGGGUAGCAAACAGG
rnacentral:rRNA from 1 species